GUGACUCACAAGCAGUAUCCUCGGAGGUGGGCUCCGAGUUCACAGUUCAGUGGCUUGCAGUACUGCUCUAUGGAAGCCAGCAUUGUCCUGGGCCUGCUGGCAAAAUACUCAAAUAUUUUCAUACAAGGAAAAAAAGAGCAAGUCGGAACUAGUGUGGAAUUUUCUAUCAUCGGACAUGCAUUCAUGGUGAUUAUUUUCUCUGCCGUGUCCUUAUGCUCCAUUCCUGUACACAGCAAGAAAACAAAUCUCUCUGGAUUCUUGUAACAUUCACAAUAUUGUCUGCAUAAAGGAAUUGAGCAGACUGGCAGUACAAGGAAAGGGUCACACCAGUUGGUUCACUUUAUCUUGGAGAAGCCUCUUCACAAGCUUCAAUUUCUGCUCAACAUCCAUCAUACGUUCUUCCAUCAUCUUUAGAAGCUGAGCAUGGCCCCCCUAAAAGGUGAACAGUUAUGUGAGAGUUUUCUUCAGCAAUGUAACUCACAAGCCAGCUGAAACAAUAAUUUACUGCAAUCAGAAUACCUGCAAAAAUCAGACACUGCAUUGCAAUUUUCCUGGAGCAGUUGGGAAGGGGAGGCAGCAGAUCACAAAGAAAGGAAAAACUCGGCACUGCUGGGAUCAAGGUCGCCGAACUACAACGCAGCAUGAAAACAAUCUAGUUAAUCCUCCACUGUGAAUAAUCCUGGUGCAGAAUUCAAGGCCAGGCCCCAAUUCCCAAGCAUUCCAAUCAGGCUGUGUUUUAUUUAUUUAUAUAGAAAAUACUGUCAGAAGGGACAGACAGCAAGAGAUCAAAACAAUUUCCUAGGCAACAGACUAGCUGUUAUUUCACAGUCCCGCAUUCUCAUUUCACUAACUUCGGUUCCAGUGGGUAUUUUUAUUUUUAGCUAAUAAUAUAUAAUGCAACUAUAAAAGUAACUAUCCUGAAAGGGAAACCUGUUUAAAUGUAGGAAUCGUUUACUGGAUUAGAGGCACAGAAAAUUCUACACUGUUACGUCCUUUAAGAACAUUGACAAAUUUGAAAUGACCAAAAGAGGAUCCAAUCCUAAAUUAUGGUGCAGGUUAUAACAACAUGACUACCUAGCUAAUUUGUUCACCCCAAUUUUUAGCUCAGACUUAAGAGUGCAAGGGCUCCUAAUGACGUGUCUUUAUUUAAGGCAGGAUCCCAGACAAGGAUCCAUGUAGGUGUGUCUAUGUGACUCCCUUUCUGUGACUAGGACCAUAGAAAACCAGCUCUGCAGGAAAGAGACGGUUUCCUCUGGGAUUUGGAAAAUGCUUCGCCCACUUUAGGGCACUAUAUGAAAUAGUAAGUCAUUUACUGAUAAUUUAGGAAAAUAUAACCUGCAGUAACACUCAGACACAGUUGUCAGAGUAACCAAGGUCCACUGUGGUCACGUUCACAGCAAAGGUCUCCUGCUAGCGGUUAAAUCAGCAUCAGACAGCCACCCUUUAGGAAUUUGUUCUCUAUUAGAAAGGCACAAUGGAAGGAAGGGAGACUCACCUUCUCGGCCAAGACAUUUUCCAAGUUCCUUUGCAGUUUGCUCGUCAGGCUCUCGUACUCUGCCAGCUUCUGUCCAGUCUCCAACAGCUCGCUCUCUAAACGGCUGUUUUCCUAAAGGAGAGGUGAUCGUAAAAUUCUGGCCUAUUUUUGUUUGUUUUAAAAACUUUCUGAACACUGAUACCCAAGAAAGUCCACAGUCAGUCAGGUCACAAGGUACAUUUGUCUUGCCUAGAAGUAGGUCCAAGCCUGGAUUCUGACACGGAUACUGGUACAAAUGUCAGUUACCAACACAAAGUGUGAAUUUGUCUGCUGGUAAAAAAUGGAAGACUCCUCUUGUCACACCAAAGUCACGCACAGGAAGGCCUGAAUCUGCAAGCAGCGUACAAAGAGAAGAGCAACCCCUAGUCCUGUCCUGAAGCUCUUCUCCCUAGUAUUCCCUGCAUGCAUCUGGCCAACAGCUGCCUAAGAAGGAGAUGACAACUUUCCAGGCAGAUGAGGGGAUUGACAUCAGCAAUAUCUUUAAACGCCCUCCUUCCCCACCCCCAGAGCUUGUUUACCUACAGCCUGCUCACCUUAGUUUGUUUUUUCAACUGGACAGAAAUAAACUAACUAUGAAGUUUGAGAGUGAAGAGUUGCCUGAUCCAUUUGCAUUCAGACUAAAACUAGAUCAUUUAUGAGUUUGCUAUUUCUAAAAACAUUUUGGAAAGGAACCUGAAUCUGGGGCCUAAAUACUAAUGGCCCCAGCCCAAAAAACCACAACCCUGAAGUCAGACUGUUUUGAGAAUACAGAUCCAAUUGGAGAAUAGGCUUAUGGGGGUUUCAAAGCUGUAUUUUGAUAUGUCAAGACCUUAGCAGUAAGAUGUUUCCCCUGCUCGCUGAUGGCCAGAUGACAAAACAGACAGCUAUCAAGUAGAAUUUACUCCUAGGGGAAUUCUGCACCACUGCACAUGCACAGAAUUUAUGUCCCCCACAGAUUUCUUUGCUUCCCCGCAGAAAAAUGAUUUUCUGAUGGGGAAGCAAAGGGA